rnacentral:rRNA from 1 species
UGCGUAGGUGGCCUUUUUAAGUUGGAUGUGAAAUACCCGGGCUUAACUUGGGGGGUGCAUCUAAUACUGGGAGGCUAGAGUGCAGGAGAGGGAAGCGGAAUUCCUAGUGUAGCGGUGAAAUGCGUAGAUAUUAGGAGGAACACCAGUGGCGAAGGCGGCUUUCUGGGCUGUAACUGACACUGAGGCACGAAAGCGUGGGGAGCAAACA